rnacentral:ribozyme from 1 species
CGUGACGGGGGCGGCGGAUCAUCGCCGCUUUAAACGACAAGGCCCGGUCCGAAGUCCGG